rnacentral:rRNA from 1 species
AUGCCUGCCACGUUGAUGCGCUGCCCCCUCCUACUCGGGCGGCACCCGGUGACCGCCCUCCGACACUCCUCCUCCUCCCGCAUGCGUCGUGUGCGCAGAGCCACGGGGGGUGGGAGCCAGGGGCGGCCACCGGCGUAUGGUGGGCUGCUACUCGAUGCUGGUGGCACGCUGCUGCAGUUGGCGCAGCCGGUCGCCAAGACAUAUGCAGCCCUCGGCCGUCCAUACGGUGUGAGGAAACCCGAAAAGUACAUCAUGGAGGGAUUCAAGCGUGCUUUCUCGGCGCCAUGGCCCAAGACGCUCAGGUACCAAGGUGAUGGGCGACCAUUCUGGAGGAUUGUCGUCGCGGAAGCAACUGACUGCACAAACAAUGAUUAUUUCGAAGAAGUAUAUCAGUACUAUGCACAUGGAGAUGCAUGGCGUCUACCUGAUGGAGCUUACAGAACACUGCGUGAUUUAAAAAAACCUGGAGAUGGCUCAUGUUAA